AUUGAACGCUGGCGGCAGGCCUAACACAUGCAAGUCGAACGAGUGGCGGACGGGUGAGUAAUGUAUGGGAAACUGCCUGAUGGAGGGGGAUAACUACUGGAAACGGUAGCUAAUACCGCAUACCAUCGGAUGUGCCCAGAUGGGAUUAGCUAGUGGGUGGGGUAAAGGCUCACCUAGGCGACGCUCCCUAGCAGGUCUGAGAGGAGGACCUGCCACACUGGAACUGAGACACGGUCCAGACUCCUACGGGAGGCAGCAUGUGGGAAUAUUGCACAAUGGGCACAAGCCUGAUGCAGCCAUGCCGCGUGUAUGAAGAAGGCCUUCGGUUUGUAAAGUACUUUCAGUGGGGAGGCGUUACCCGCAGAAGAAGCACCGGCUAACUCCGUGCCAGCAGCCGCGGUAAUUC
rnacentral:rRNA from 1 species